GAUGAACGCUUGCGGCGUGCUUAACACAUGCAAGUCGAGCGAAGCACCUUGACGGAUUUCUUCGGAUUGAAGCCUUGGUGACUGAGCGGCGGACGGGUGAGUAACGCGUGGGUAACCUGCCUCAUACAGGGGGAUAACAGUUGGAAACGGCUGCUAAUACCGCAUAAGCGCACAGUACCGCAUGGUACGGUGUGAAAAACUCCGGUGGUAUGAGAUGGACCCGCGUCUGAUUAGGUAGUUGGUGGGGUAACGGCCUACCAAGCCGACGAUCAGUAGCCGACCUGAGAGGGUGACCGGCCACAUUGGGACUGAGACACGGCCCAAACUCCUACGGGAGGCAGCAGUGGGGAAUAUUGCACAAUGGGGGAAACCCUGAUGCAGCGACGCCGCGUGAGCGAUGAAGUAUUUCGGUAUGUAAAGCUCUAUCAGCAGGGAAGAAAAUGACGGUACCUGACUAAGAAGCCCCGGCUAACUACGUGCCAGCAGCCGCGGUAAUACGUAGGGGGCAAGCGUUAUCCGGAUUUACUGGGUGUAAAGGGAGCGUAGACGGCAUGGCAAGCCAGAUGUGAAAGCCCGGGGCUCAACCCCGGGACUGCAUUUGGAACUGUCAGGCUAGAGUGUCGGAGAGGAAAGCGGAAUUCCUAGUGUAGCGGUGAAAUGCGUAGAUAUUAGGAGGAACACCAGUGGCGAAGGCGGCUUUCUGGACGGUGACUGACGUUGAGGCUCGAAAGCGUGGGGAGCAAACAAGAUUAGAUACCCUGGUAGUCCACGCCGUAGACGAUGAAUACUAGGUGUCGGGUGGCAAAGCCAUUCGGUGCCGCAGCAAACGCAAUAAGUAUUCCACCUGGGGAGUACGUUCGCAAGAAUGAAACUCAAAGGAAUUGACGGGGACCCGCACAAGCGGUGGAGCAUGUGGUUUAAUUCGAAGCAACGCGAAGAACCUUACCUGGUCUUGACAUCCCUCUGACCGCUCUUUAAUCGGAGCUUUCCUUCGGGACAGAGGAGACAGGUGGUGCAUGGUUGUCGUCAGCUCGUGUCGUGAGAUGUUGGGUUAAGUCCCGCAACGAGCGCAACCCCUAUCUUUAGUAGCCAGCAUUUCGGAUGGGCACUCUAGAGAGACUGCCAGGGAUAACCUGGAGGAAGGUGGGGAUGACGUCAAAUCAUCAUGCCCCUUAUGACCAGGGCUACACACGUGCUACAAUGGCGUAAACAAAGGGAAGCGAGCCCGCGAGGGGGAGCAAAUCCCAAAAAUAACGUCUCAGUUCGGAUUGUAGUCUGCAACUCGACUACAUGAAGCUGGAAUCGCUAGUAAUCGCGAAUCAGAAUGUCGCGGUGAAUACGUUCCCGGGUCUUGCACU
rnacentral:rRNA from 1 species